GAUGAACGCUAGCUACAGGCUUAACACAUGCCAGUCGAGGGGCAGCAUGGUCUUAGCUUGCUAAGGCCGAUGGCGACCGGCGCACGGGUGAGUAACACGUAUCCAACCUGCCGUCUACUCUUGGACAGCCUUCUGAAAGGAAGAUUAAUACAAGAUGGCAUCAUGAGUCCGCAUGUUCACAUGAUUAAAGGUAUUCCGGUAGACGAUGGGGAUGCGUUCCAUUAGAUAGUAGGCGGGGUAACGGCCCACCUAGUCUUCGAUGGAUAGGGGUUCUGAGAGGAAGGUCCCCCACAUUGGAACUGAGACACGGUCCAAACUCCUACGGGAGGCAGCAGUGAGGAAUAUUGGUCAAUGGGCGCAGGCCUGAACCAGCCAAGUAGCGUGAAGGAUGACUGCCCUAUGGGUUGUAAACUUCUUUUAUAAAGGAAUAAAGUCGGGUACGUAUACCCGUUUGCAUGUACUUUAUGAAUAAGGAUCGGCUAACUCCGUG
rnacentral:rRNA from 1 species